rnacentral:rRNA from 1 species
CCCUUGCGAACCGUACCCAAUCUCGUUCUCGUUGCUUCUGGCGGGGGGGGACGGGGGGGCGCCCGAGACGGCCCCCUCCG